rnacentral:rRNA from 1 species
GAUAUUGGACAAUGGGCGAAAGCCUGAUCCAGCCAGGCCGCGAGUGUGAAGAAGGACUUCGGAUUGUAAAGCACUUUAAGUUGGGAGGAAGGGUUGUAGGUUAAUACCCUGCACUUUUGACGUUACCGACAGAAUAAGCACCGGCUAACUUCGUGCCAGCAGCCGCGGUAAUACGAAGGGUGCAAGCGUUAAUCGGAAUUACGGGGCGUAAAGCGCGCGUAGGUGGGUCCGUAAGUUGGGAGUUAAAGCCCCGGGAUUAACCUGGGAAUUGCUUUCAAAACUGACGAGCUAGAGUACGGUAGAGGGUAGUGGAAUUUCCUGUGUAGCGGUGAAAUGCGUAGAUAUAGGAAGGAACAUCAGUGGCGAAGGCGACUACCUGGACUGAUACUGACACUGAGGUGCGAAAGCGUGGGGAGCAAACA